rnacentral:tRNA from 1 species
UGGGGGUUAGCUCAGUGGCAGAGCACUUGCUUAGCAAGAGUGAGACCUGGGUUCCAUCCCCAGUACUGCAA